rnacentral:ncRNA from 1 species
AAAACGGAGAGUUUGAUCCUGGCUCAGGAUGAACGCUGGCGGUAUGCUUAACACAUGCAAGUCGAACGAUGUGG